rnacentral:rRNA from 1 species
AUUGAACGCUGGCGGCAGGCUUAACACAUGCAAGUCGAGCGGAGAUGAGGUGCUUGCACCUUAUCUUAGCGGCGGACGGGUGAGUAAUGCUUAGGAAUCUGCCUAUUAGUGGGGGACGACAUUCCGAAAGGAAUGCUAAUACCGCAUACGCCCUACGGGGGAAAGCAGGGGAUCUUCGGACCUUGCGCUAAUAGAUGAGCCUAAGUCGGAUUAGCUAGUUGGUGGGGUAAAGGCCUACCAAGGCGACGAUCUGUAGCGGGUCUGAGAGGAUGAUCCGCCUCACUGGGACUGAGACACGGCCCAGACUCCUACGGGAGGCAGCAGUGGGGAAUAUUGGACAAUGGGCGGAAGCCUGAUCCAGCCAUGCCGCGUGUGUGAAGAAGGCCUUUUGGUUGUAAAGCACUUUAAGCGAGGAGGAGGCUACCUGGAUUAAUACUCUAGGAUAGUGGACGUUACUCGCAGAAUAAGCACCGGCUAACUCUGUGCCAGCCGCCGCAGUAAAAC